UACGAAGGUGGCAAGCGUUAAUCGGAAUUACUGGGCGUAAAGCGUGCGCAGGCGGUUUCGUAAGUCAGAUGUGAAAGCCCCGGGCUUAACCUGGGAACUGCAUUUGAAACUGCGAGGCUAGAGUGUGUCAGAGGGGGGUAGAAUUCCACGUGUAGCAGUGAAAUGCGUAGAGAUGUGGAGGAAUACCGAUGGCGAAGGCAGCCCCCUGGGAUAACACUGACGCUCAUGCACGAAAGCGUGGGGAGCAAACAGG
rnacentral:rRNA from 1 species